UGAGGAAUAUUGGUCAAUGGGCGAGAGCCUGAACCAGCCAAGUAGCGUGCAGGACGACGGCCCUAUGGGUUGUAAACUGCUUUUAUGUGGGGAUAAAGUGCGUGACGUGUCAUGCAUUGCAGGUACCACAUGAAUAAGGACCGGCUAAUUCCGUGCCAGCAGCCGCGGUAAUACGGAAGGUCCGGGCGUUAUCCGGAUUUAUUGGGUUUAAAGGGAGCGUAGGCUGUCUAUUAAGCGUGUUGUGAAAUAUACCGGCUCAACCGGUGGCUUGCAGCGCGAACUGGUCGACUUGAGUAUGCAGGAAGUAGGCGGAAUUCAUGGUGUAGCGGUGAAAUGCUUAGAUAUCAUGACGAACUCCGAUUGCGCAGGCAGCUUACUGUAGCAUAACUGACGCUGAUGCUCGAAAGUGCGGGUAUCAAACAGG
rnacentral:rRNA from 2 species